UACGUAGGGACCGAGCGUUGUCCGGAUUCAUUGGGCGUAAAGAGCUCGUAGGCGGUCUGUUACGUCGGCUGUGAAAACCUGGGGCUCAACCCCGGGCCUGCAACCGAUACGGGCAGACUAGAAUUCGGUAGGGGAGACUGGAAUUCCUGGUGUAGCGGUGGAAUGCGCAGAUAUCAGGAGGAACACCGGUGGCGAAGGCAGGCUCUCGGCGGACUG
rnacentral:rRNA from 1 species